UACGUAGGGUCCGAGCGUUGUCCGGAAUUAUUGGGCGUAAAGGGCUCGUAGGCGGUUUGUCGCGUCGGGAGUGAAAACUCAGGGCUUAACCCUGAGCCUGCUCCCGAUACGGGCAGACUAGAGGUAUGCAGGGGAGAACGGAAUUCCUGGUGUAGCGGUGAAAUGCGCAGAUAUCAGGAGGAACACCGGUGGCGAAGGCGGUUCUCUGGGCAUUACCUGACGCUGAGGUGCGAAAGUGUGGGGAGCGAACAGG
rnacentral:rRNA from 1 species